GCCGGUGUAGCUCAAUGGUAGAGCAGCUGUUUAGUAGUCAGAAGACGGGGUUCGAUUCCCAUCACCGGCU
rnacentral:tRNA from 1 species